UGAACUUAAGCAUAUC
rnacentral:rRNA from 1 species